GGCGACUGCGGAGGGAUCAUUGCUGGAACGCGCCCCAGGCGCACCCAGAAACCCUUUGUGAACUUAUACCUUACUGUUGCCUCGGCGCAUGCCGGCCCCCCUGGGGGCCCCUCCUUCUGGAGGAGCAGGCACGCCGGCGGCCAACCUAACUCUUGUUUUUACACUGAAACUCUGAGAAUAAAACAUAAAUGAAUCAAAACUUUCAACAACGGAUCUCUUGGUUCUGGCAUCGAUGAAGAACGCAGCGAAAUGCGAUAAGUAAUGUGAAUUGCAGAAUUCAGUGAAUCAUCGAAUCUUUGAACGCACAUUGCGCCCUCUGGUAUUCCGGAGGGCAUGCCUGUUCGAGCGUCAUUUCAACCCUCAAGCCUGGCUUGGUGAUGGGGCACUGCUUUUACCCAAAAGCAGGCCCUGAAAUUCAGUGGCGAGCUCGCCAGGACCCCGAGCGCAGUAGUUAAACCCUCGCUUUGGAAGGCCCUGGCGGUGCCCUGCCGUUAAACCCCCAACUUCUGAAAAUUUGACCUCGGAUCAGGUAGGAAUACCCGCUGAACUUAAGCAUAUCUAA
rnacentral:rRNA from 1 species